AACCGUGACAAAUUACAGCUAAUACAUGCAGUAAGACCUGGUCCAAGGGUCGUAAUUAUUAGUAUUAAACCAUUUCCGCAAGGAAUGUGAUGAAUCAUAAUAAUCGAACGAAUCGCCUGGUGUGCGAUAAAUCAUUCAAGUUUCUGCCCUAUCAGCUUUGGAUGGUAGUGUAUUGGACUACCAUGGCAGUCACGGGUAACGGAGAAUUAGGGUUCGAUUCCGGAGAGGGAGCCUGAGAAACGGCUACCACAUCUACGGAAGGCAGCAGGAGCGAAAAUUGCCCAAUCCUGACACAGGGAGGCAGUGACAAGAAAUAUCAACUCUUGGAUUUCUAAGAAGUGAAAUGAGGAUAAUUUACAACCCUUACCGAAAGCAAUUGGAGGGCAAGUCUGGUGCCAGCAGCCGCGGUAAUUCCAGCUCCAAUAGCGUAUAUUAAAGUUGUUGCAGUUAAAAAGCUCGUAGUUGAAGUUCUGGCUGUUCGAUCCUCGAGCUCUGUAGCCGAGGACUCGACAGUCAUCCGCUUGCAAAUAUAUGUUCGCCUUUAACCGGGUGGCUAUAUGAGCAAGCAUUUUACCUUGAGAAAAACAGAGUGUUCCAGGCAGGUUUGUCCGGAAUGCAUUAGCAUGGAAUAAUAGAAUAUGACUGAAGUCAAUUUAUUGGUUUAGGGCUUUAGUAAUGAUUAAUAGGAACAGUCGGGGGCAUUGGUACUUGACAGUCAGAGGUGAAAUUCUAGGAUUUGUCAAAGACUAACAAAUGCGAAAGCAUUUGCCAAGGAUGUUUUCAUUAAUCAAGAACGAAAGUUAGGGGAUCAAAGACGAUCAAAUACCGUCCUAGUCUUAACUAUAAACUAUACCGACUCGGAUUCGGAUGAAUCAAAAAGUUCAUUCGGGACCGUAGGAGAAAUCAAAGUUUUUGGGUUCUGGGGGAAGUAUGGUCGCAAGGCUGAAACUUAAAGGAAUUGACGGUUUUGCACCACCAUGGAGUGGAGUCUGCGGCUUAAUUUGACUCAACACUGGGAAACUCAUCAGGGCAAGAAGAUUUUAGGAUUGACAGAUUGAGAGUUCUUUCUUGAUUGGUCUAGUGGUGGUGCAUGGCCGUUCUUAGUUGGUGGAGUGAUUUGUCUGGUUAAUUCCGUUAACGAACGAGACCUUAACCUGCUAACUAGUACUGCGAUGACAAAUCGUUGUUACUUCUUAGAGGGACUAUGUGAUGUAAUCACAUGGAAGUUUGAGGCAAUAACAGGUCUGUGAUGCCCUUAGAUGUCCUGAGCUGCACGCGUACUACAAUGGUGCUUUCAACGAGCUUUUCCUGAUCCGAAAGGAUUUGGGUAAUCUUUUUAGUGAGCACCGUGCUUGGGAUAGAUCUUUGUAAUUAUGGAUCUUGAACUAGGAAUUCCUAGUAAGCGCUAGUCAUCAGCUAGUGCUGAUUACGUCCCUGCAAAAUGUACACACCGCCCGUCGCUAUUACCGAUUGAGUGCUAAGGUGAACCUUCUCGAUAGUGCAAACUAAAAAUUAAGUAAACCUUAGUACUUAGAGGAAAUAAAAGUCGUAACAAGGUUUCCGUAGGUGAACCUGCGGAAGGAUCA
rnacentral:rRNA from 1 species